AGUCAUAUUCUAGUGUAAGUAAAAAGAACUUUUGUAAAAAGUCAAAUAGUCCAAUAAAGACCUGCCAAAUAAAAAAUGCAAAGAUUCUAAUUGUAUAGUCAAACAAAACAAAAAUACCCAAUUUUGUUUACCACAAAAAUUACCCCAUCAUAAUAAAACAAAAUAAAUGUCUAGCGAUACCAUCACUCAACACAAAAUAUAUAUAUAUUUAACACAGAUUUUGAGAAGAAAAGCACUACAUUUACACAAUAAAAAUCCUCCAAAUUUAAUCAGCUCAUUUCUCCAAGACAACCCACAAGAAAACAAAAACAAAAACAAAAUAGAAAAAGAAACCAUGUUAAGGAAAAAGUAAGAACCCAUACCGCAGUAAUCGUCCUCCUCCAUUGAUGGCUCUCCCAAGGUCUUUCGUGUGGUGUGAUAGUGAUGGGCGAUUGGAAGGUGUUCGCUUGGAAACUGGGUUUAAGAAGAAAGAAGGUGUGAAAUGCAAUCCUGAUCUCUCAUGUCGUGGUGGUGAAGGAGUGCGUGGAUGGGUGGCUAGGUAAAAAGAAAAGGAAGAAUUAUCAGGACACUACACGUGUCCUUAGUAGUAAGUCUGUUAAGUGGUACCAACAGCAGAGUUUAAGAAGUGAGAUUUUGAGUAUUAAUGCCGCAAUUUUUAAAAAUUGGAUACUUAUUAGCAACAAAAUCAACAAAUGAGUAUUUAUGCCGCAAAUUUCCCUAA